GCGCAGCAGGCGCGAAUACUUUACAAUGUGCGAAAGCACGAUAAGGGAACUCUGAGUGCCUCCUAAGGAGGCUGUUCAGGUGUCUAAAAAGCACCUGGAGUAAGGGCUGGGUAAGACCGGUGCCAGCCGCCGCGGUAACACCGGCAGCCCAGGUGGUAGCCACUUUUAUUGGGUCUAAAGCGUCCGUAGCCGGUUGAGUAAGUUCCUUGGGAAAUUUGGCUGCUCAACAGUCAAGCUUCCAGGGAAUACUGCUCGACUUGGGGACUGGGGAGAGGUCAGAGGUACUCCAGGGGUAGGGGUGAAAAUCCAUUAAUCCCUGGGGGACCACCGGUAGCGAAGGCGUCUGACCAGACCAGGUCCGACGGUGAGGGACGAAGGCGUAGGGGCGCGAACCGGA
rnacentral:rRNA from 1 species